rnacentral:rRNA from 1 species
GACGAACGCUGGCGGCGUGCUUAACACAUGCAAGUCGAGCGGAGCGGCGGAGGGGUGAGUAACGCGUGAGUAACUGCCCCCCUCUCUGGGAUAACAGUUGGAAACGGCUGCUAAUAGCGGAUAGUGGGGGAUGACUCGCGUCCUAUCCGCUUGUGGGUGGGGUAGUGGCAUACCAAGGCGACGACGGGUAGCCGCCCUGAGAGGGCGACCGGCCACAUUGGGCUGGGAUGCCGCCCAAACUCCUUCGGGUGGCAGCAGCGGUGACCAUUGCACAAUGGGGGACAUCCUGAUGCAUCAACGCCGCGUGCGGGAGGACUGCCUUCGGGUUGUAAACCGCUUUCGUUCAUGCCGCGGUGGUGGCAGAAGAAGCACGGGCUACUUACUUGCAAGCACCCGCGGUAAUA